rnacentral:rRNA from 1 species
UACGGAGGGUGCGAGCGUUGUCCGGAAUCAUUGGCGUAAAGGGCGCGUAGGUGGCUUCUUAAGCGUGCGGUGAAAGCCUCGGGGCUCAACCCCGGGUCGGCCGUGCGAACUGGGGGGCUGGAGCACUGUAGAGGCAGGCGGGAAUUCCGGGGUGUAGCGGUGGAAUGACGUAGAGAUCCGGAAGAACGACCGGGUGGCGAAGGCGGC